AAAGUUUGAUCAUGGCUCAGGAUGAACGCUAGCUACAGGCUUAACACAUGCAAGUCGAGGGGAAACGAUAUUGGAAGCUUGCUUCCGAUAGGCGUCGACCGGCGCACGGGUGAGUAACGCGUAUCCAACCUGCCCACCACUUGGGGAUAACCUUGCGAAAGUAAGACUAAUACCCAAUGACGUCUCUAGAAGACAUCUGAAAGAGAUUAAAGAUUUAUCGGUGAUGGAUGGGGAUGCGUCUGAUUAGCUUGUUGGCGGGGUAACGGCCACAAAGCUACGAUUAGUAGGGGUUCUGAGAGGAAGGUCCCCCACAUUGGAACUGAGACACGGUCCAAACUCCUACGGGAGGCA
rnacentral:rRNA from 1 species